GUGAACGCUGGCGGUAGGCCUAACACAUGCAAGUCGAACGGCAGCACAGUAAGCGCUUGCCCUUACGGGUGGCGAGUGGCGGACGGGUGAGGAAUACAUCGGAAUCUACUUUUUCGUGGGGGAUAACGUAGGGAAACUUACGCUAAUACCGCAUACGACCUACGGGUGAAAGCAGGGGAUCUUCGGACCUUGCGCGAUUGAAUGAGCCGAUGUCGGAUUAGCUAGUUGGCGGGGUAAAGGCCCACCAAGGCGACGAUCCGUAGCUGGUCUGAGAGGAUGAUCAGCCACACUGGAACUGAGACACGGUCCAGACUCCUAGGGGAGGCAGCAGUGGGGAAUAUUGGACAAUGGGCGCAAGCCUGAUCCAGCCAUACCGCGUGGGUGAAGAAGGCCUUCGGGUUGUAAAGCCCUUUUGUUGGGAAAGAAAAGCAGCAGGUUAAUACCCCGCUGUUCUGACGGUACCCAAAGAAUAAGCACCGGCUAACUUCGU
rnacentral:rRNA from 1 species